GGAUGACGGCCUUCGGGUUGUAACCCUCUUUCAGCAGGGAAGAAGCGAAAGUGACGGUACCUGCAGAAGAAGCGCCGGCUAACUACGUGCCAGCAGCCGCGGUAAUACGUAGGGCGCAAGCGUUGUCCGGAAUUAUUGGGCGUAAAGAGCUCGUAGGCGGUCUGUCGCGUCGGAUGUGAAAGCCCGGGGCUUAACCCCGGGUCUGCAUUCGAUACGGGCAGACUAGAGUGUGGUAGGGGAGAUCGGAAUUCCUGGUGUAGCGGUGAAAUGCGCAGAUAUCAGGAGGAACACCGGUGGCGAAGGCGGAUCUCUGGGCCAUUACUGACGCUGAGGAGCGAAAGCGUGGGGAGCGAACAGG
rnacentral:rRNA from 1 species